rnacentral:misc_RNA from 1 species
UCUCUUGAUAGUACUUGCUACAUUUGUGGAGAUAGGAGUAGGGAGUUUGCCUAUGGGAUUGGAAAUUUAUUCAUUCACUCGUUAAAUUCCAUCAUUCUAAAUAGAGACACUUUGGCUAUUGAUUAUUCUAGAAUUUCUUUUGAGCAUGACUUUCUCUUUUGAUUGGUUGGUUCGGGAAUUUUGGAUGAUAAUUGACUUGAUGGCUAAGUGGUGAAAG